rnacentral:tRNA from 1 species
GUGGGUAUAGCUCAGUGGUAGAGCAACUGCUUAGCAUGCAGGAGGUCCUGGGUUCAAUCCCCAGUACUGCCA